rnacentral:rRNA from 1 species
GAUGAACGCUGGCGGCGUGCCUAAUACAUACAAGUCGAGCGAACAGAUGAGGAGCUUGCUCCUCUGACGUUAGCGGCGGACGGGUGAGUAACACGUGGAUAACCUACCUAUAAGACUGGGAUAACUUCGGGAAACCGGAGCUAAUACCGGAUAAUAUAUUGAACCGCAUGGUUCAAUAGUGAAAGACGGUUUUGCUGUCACUUAUAGAUGGAUCCGCGCCGCAUUAGCUAGUUGGUAAGGUAACGGCUUACCAAGGCAACGAUGCGUAGCCGACCUGAGAGGGUGAUAGGCCACACUGGAACUGAGACACGGUCCAGACUCCUACGGGAGGCAGCAGUAGGGAAUCUUCCGCAAUGGGCGAAAGCCUGACGGAGCAACGCCGCGUGAGUGAUGAAGGUCUUCGGAUCGUAAAACUCUGUUAUUAGGGAAGAACAAAUGUGUAAGUAACUAUGCACGUCUUGACGGUACCUAAUCAGAAAGCCACGGCUAACUACGUG